AACGCACCUUGCACUCUUUGGUAUUCCGAAGAGUAUGUCUGUUUGAGUGUCGUGAAUCUCUCAACCCCCCUAUUUUGUAAUGAGAUAGGUUUGCGGGCUUGGAUUAUGGUUGCUUGUCGGAUCUCUUUGAUGAGCCGGCUCAACUUAAAUACACGAGCGACCCAAUGUUCAUAUGGAUGUGACGACGGCUUGACUCGGCGUAAUAAUACUAUUCGCUGAGGACGUUGAGACUUUCCACUGUGGCAUUGACGCUUCUAAUGCGACUUUUGUUAGUCACCUUAAUCUCUAGACCUCAAAUCAGGCAGGACUACCCGCUGAACUUAA
rnacentral:rRNA from 1 species